rnacentral:rRNA from 1 species
GUCCACACGGUAAACGAUGGAUACUCGCUGUUGGCGAUAUACAGUCAGCGGCCAAGCGAAAGCAUUAAGUAUCCCACCUGGGGAGUACGCCGGCAACGGUGAAACUCAAAGGAAUUGACGGGGGCCCGCACAAGCGGAGGAACAUGUGGUUUAAUUCGAUGAUACGCGAGGAACCUUACCCGGGCUUAAAUUAUGCAUGAAUGAUCUGGAGACAGGUCAGCCGCAAGGCAUGUAUGAAGGUGCUGCAUGGUUGUCGU